UGGGGAAUAUUGCACAAUGGGCGCAAGCCUGAUGCAGCCAUGCCGCGUGUGUGAAGAAGGCCUUCGGGUUGUAAAGCACUUUCAGCGAGGAGGAAGGUGGUGGACUUAAUACGUUCAUCAAUUGACGUUACUCGCAGAAGAAGCACCGGCUAACUCCGCGCCAGCAGCCGCGGUAAUACGGAGGGUGCAAGCGUUAAUCGGAAUUACUGGGCGUAAAGCGCACGCAGGCGGUUUGUUAAGUCAGAUGUGAAAUCCCCGGGCUCAACCUGGGAACUGCAUUUGAAACUGGCAAGCUAGAGUCUCGUAGAGGGGGGUAGAAUUCCAGGUGUAGCGGUGAAAUGCGUAGAGAUCUGGAGGAAUACCGGUGGCGAAGGCGGCCCCCUAGACGAAGACUGACGCUCAGGUGCGAAAGCGUGGGGAGCAAACAGGAUUAGAUACCCCUGGUAGUCCACGCUGUAAACGAUGUCGAUUUUGGAGGUUGUGCCCUUGAGGCGUGGCUUCCGGAGCUAACGCGUUAAAUCGACCGCCUGGGGAGUACGGCCGCAAGGUUAAAACUCAAAUGAAUUG
rnacentral:rRNA from 1 species